UACGUAGGGGGCAAGCGUUAAUCGGAAUUACUGGGCGUAAAGCGCACGUAGGCGGCUUUGCAAGUCAGGUGUGAAAGCCUGGGGCUCAACCCCAGAAGUGCAUUUGAAACUGCAGAGCUUGAGUCUUGGAGAGGGUGGUGGAAUUCCGAGUGUAGAGGUGAAAUUCGUAGAUAUUCGGAGGAACACCAGUGGCGGAAGGCGACCACCUGGACAAAGACGUGACGCUGAGGUGCGAAAGCGUGGGGAGCAAACAGGG
rnacentral:rRNA from 1 species